rnacentral:rRNA from 1 species
CGCCUCUUGACACUACAUAUGAGGUCCAGCCUGCCCAGUGACAUUGUUCAACGGCCGCGGUAUCCUAACCGUGCGAAGGUAGCGUAAUCACUUGUUCUUUAAAUAAGGACUAGUAUGAAUGGCACCACGAAGGUUCUACUGUCUCCUUUUUUUAAUCAGUGAAACUAAUCUUCCCGUGAAGAAGCGGGAAUAAACUUAUAAGACGAGAAGACCCUAUGGAGCUUUAAACUAUUUAUCAAUUGUUUAUUUAUUUUCACUAUUUCAGAGCCAUAUCUUUUAUUAUAGCUUUUUGAUAAUAAGUUUUAGGUUGGGGUGACCGCGGAGCAAAAAAUAACCUCCAUAUUGAAAGGAAACCUUUCCUGAGCAAAAAACUACAAUUUUAUGCACCAAUAUAUUGACAUUAAUUGACCCAAUAAUUUGAUCAACGAACCAAGUUACCCUAGGGAUAACAGCGCAAUCUACUUCAAGAGCCCCUAUCGACAAGUAGGUUUACGACCUCGAUGUUGGAUCAGGGUAUCCUAGUGGUGCAGCCGCUACUAAAGGUUCGUUUGUUCAACGAUUAAAACCCU